rnacentral:rRNA from 1 species
UGAGGAAUAUUGGUCAAUGGACGCAAGUCUGAACCAGCCAAGUAGCGUGCAGGAUGACGGCCCUAUGGGUUGUAAACUGCUUUUAUAUGGGGAUAAAGUGGGGAACGUGUUCCCUUUUGCUGGUACCAUACGAAUAAGGACCGGCUAAUACCGUGCUAGCAGCCGCGGUAAUACGGAAGGUCCAGGCGUUAUCCGGCUUUAUUGGGUUUAAAGGGAGCGUAGGCUGUUUGUUAAACGUGUUGUGAAAUGUAAGAGCUCAACUUUUAGAUUGCAGCGCGAACUGGCAGACUUGAGUGCGCACAACGUAGGCGGAAUUCAUGGUGUAGCGGUGAAAUGCUUAGAUAUCAUGACGAGCUCCGAUUGCGAAGGCAGCUUACGGGAGCGCAACUGACGCUAAAGCUCGAAGGUGCGGGUAUCGAACAGG